AAAUUGAAGAGUUUGAUCAUGGCUCAGAUUGAACGCUGGCGGCAGGCCUAACACAUGCAAGUCGAACGGUAACAGGAAGCAGCUUGCUGCUUUGCUGACGAGUGGCGGACGGGUGAGUAAUGUCUGGGAAACUGCCUGAUGGAGGGGGAUAACUACUGGAAACGGUGGCUAAUACCGCAUAACGUCGCAAGACCAAAGAGGGGGAUCUUCGGGCCUCUUGCCAUCAGAUGUGCCCA
rnacentral:rRNA from 1 species